ensembl:lncRNA
GUGUCACCUGGUAGAAGGUGCCACCACAUCUCUCCUAUCCAGAAGGAGUUGGAGCCACGUGGGCUCCAGACAUAAAUGGUACUACUGAGGCUGCAGCUCCCCUUCUCCUCCCCUGCUGCUGCCUUGCAAUUUCUGGCCAGAGACUCUCGCUGUGCAAAUGUGCCAAAACUCCUCGAUAAGGGAGCAAGAGCUAUGCAGCCUGCAUGAGUCAGCCUCCCCAACACACAGAGGUGGAACUGGGAGGAAAGGGUCCGAGUCAGACUGACCCAGGACUAGCACAGAACUCCAGGAAUUACAGCAGAUAUCCACCAUUUGACUUCCUGUAAGUCUCAUAAGGUUGCCACUCAAAAGACGUCACUUGCUCUCCAGUGAAAGAGCUGUACACACCACCUGAGCAAGGCCAGCGAGACCAACUCUCCCAAGAAGAUGAACUAUCCAUGAACCCAGAUGGUCCUUUGUGACUUUCUCGACUAACAGAGCACAGGAGAAGUGACAUGAUAUGACUUCUGAGGCUAGCUUAUACAAAUGUCAUGGAUUUCUACCUCGUGCUUUGAGGAUACUCGCCUUGCAACCCAGUCACCGUGCUGUAAAGAAGCCCAAACAGCUACUUGGAGAGACAUCGGGUACCACAGAGCCUCACCCAAGAUCUCAGCUGACAGCCAGCAUCAACCGCCAGACAUAUGAGUGCACAAGCUUUCAAAUGAUUCCAGCCUCCACCCGUCAAGUCACCCUCAGGCUUUGAGCCCUUUCCAGCUGAGGUUCCAGACAUCCUGGAACAGAGACAAGGCAUCCCCACUGAGCCCUUCCCGAUUUCUGAUACACAGAAUCCAUAAACACAAUAAGAUGGUUGUUAUUUAUACCGCUGUGUUUAGGCUGGUUUGUUACUCAACAGUAGUAACUGGAAUGGGUCAUCACUGGAGAAGAGAAUGAGGAAUGAGACCUGGAGGAGUCCUAAUAUAUUAAGAUUUGCCAAGGUGCUGCAAUCCCUCACCUGGACUCCUUGGCUCCUGUGAAGUACCACCACCCUCGCUUCUGUAUCUCACAGUGUCAAAGAGCUCUUACCACAGCGUAUCACCAAGCCUUUACCUGGGAAUUGUGUGUAUCCAUCUCCAGCCAGUGGCAGGGCUGGGAAUACCAUUUGGCAAUGUGUUGCUGUGAAGGAAACAAAGUGAUCAAAUAAAGAAUGACUGAGGGGAGGGGUGGAAAGUGACCUGUGUUAGAAAUCACAACAGAAAACGCCUCUAGGAUGAGGUGGCAUUAAAGCUGAAACAAGAGGAUGAGAAGAAGCAAACCAGAAAAAGAGGAAGAAUAACAACAAUGCAAGAAGCAACUCCCUACCCAAAAGCCCACAGUGGGAAACCUUAUAGCAUACCUGGCUGAACGGUUGAAUACCAGUGUGGAGGAGGUAGACAUAACAUACAGCUGGGCAGAUCUUGAUAGGGACCAGAAUCCACAAGCCUAAGAGAUUUGAUUUUAUUUUAGAUGCAAGUGAAAGCUCUUAAAUGGUUUUGAAAAGAUAGCUGAAAUGAUCAGAUUCAUGUGGGAUACCAGGCUGUUUGAGUAGAACAAGGGAGAAAGAACAGUGGCGUACACUAAGAUGGCAAUGAGUAUGGAGAAAUAUAUAUAAAAUAUAUAUGUGUAUGUACAUACGUCUAUAUACACGCACACUUUGAGACAGAUUCCAGAAAACGUAAUGAUACAGUCUGGGCAGAAAGUGAGGAAAAGUAGGGAAUCAAGGAUCAUUCCUAGGUUUUGUUUUAAGUUAGCAUGUGAACAGUUAGAAUGGAACAGUUUGGAAGGUGGAAUAAUUGAAGUUUUCAUUUAGACAUCUUAAUUGUGGAGACGUCAACCAGUGUUUCUCAAACUUCCCCAAUGAACAGAAUCAUCUGGGGAGCUUAUUACAUAUAUGGAUUAUCAGGUUUUCUGCUGGAAAUUCUGGAUCGGUAGGUCCGAGUUGAGCACAAAGUACUGGAUUUUCUUCACUCUCGGUGGGUAAUAUGCAGCUACCAAAAGAAAGAGAAUGAGGAAGAUCUCUAUCAACUGAUAUAGAGCAAUUUCCAAGAUAUGUUAAAGGCAAAAUUCAAAAGAGUAUCUGUGGUAUGCUAUUUUUCAUGUAGGAAGAAGGGACUAUAAGAAAAUACACACGUAUCUGUGCAAAAAAGAAAUGCAGGAAGGAUAAACCAGAAACCAGUGCAACUGAUUAUCUACAGGAAGCAGAUGGGAACUGGGAGGAAAGGAAGGAAGGACGGGAAUGGCGUAGAAGGGACGAGAAAGAGAUGAUACCUAAGUAUACCUUUCUGUAUACUUUUGAUUAAAACUGAACAGUUUUCACAUACCCAAGUAAAUAAUUAAAAUCAAGAAGCAUUUGGAAGGAUCCCCAAAUGGAACACAAACAGUAACAGGUGAACCUAACUUUACUACAAACACAUUAACAAAAUCACACUGGAGGAAGUGGGGAAGAACUAACCUCAGUAACUUUAGAAAAUAGUAUUUUAAUAUAGUGCAAAUAACCAUACACUUAAUAUAUACUACUAAUAAUAUUUAAUAAUAUUAAUAAUACAUUUAUAACUAAUCAUAAUAAUAAGGCUAAAGACAGAAAGAAUUGUACACAGAUAUUGAACUUGUUAGUAAAUUUAUUUUUCACAGGGGCAGAAGUUAACGAUUUUUAAAUAUUUUAUGUGUAUUCUAGAACUGAGCAAAUACAUAAAUGGAUUGUAGAUAAUGAGAAUCAGGUUUCUAAUUGUUAAAGAAAGGAGUUACAAGUAAGUAUAAGGUAAAGGAGGCUAGAAUAAACCCUAUGGUGUUGGAUUGGAAUCAAGGUAUCAGUUUGAACUCAUUCUCAAUUUGAACUCGUGUGUGUGUGUGUGUGUGUGUGUGUGCGUGUGCGCGCGCGCGCUCAUGCGAACACACCCGGAUGGAUACAUAUAAAAAUAGAAGGAGAUAUUUGUACGUGUGGAUGUAUUCAGAUAUAUUUUCUUAGCUCUGUCUGUUGAAAGGGCAAUGGGGAAGCCUGGGUAGCAAUAAGUACACCUCAUACCAAGAUGCUGGUUUGUAAAUACCAUUAUUUAAGGCAAGGAAUAACAACUCCAUGGAGAAAUGACUGAUCCAAGGCUAGGACAGGGGAAAGUAAAAGAUGGGUCUGGAGCAUUUUUUGUGGUGCCAGAAAGUAAGCUACUACUCAAAAAAUUAUAUGGCUAUGUAGCAAAAACAAGAAAGACAGCUUGAAGGAGUACCAAUCACCAAAUCUGGAACAAUUUGAGAGACAAAAUAAUUAAUGCUAGUAAUGGCUUUUAACCCAUAGAAUAAAAUAAAUAUCCACAAGUUUAUACUGAUAUAUGUAAAUAAAUAACUGAAUAAACACAUAAACGAAGGAGAAGGAACAGCUCUUCGUUACAAUCAGAUCAUAGUUAAUAAAUGUAGAAGGAAUCAUGGAAAUAGAUGAUGAUCAUUUACAGUAAUUAUUGGAGUCAGGAAUUAUUAAUGGAUACUAAAAUUGGUGUGGGGAAAAGAAACAAGAGCAGAAUAUUUGAGCAAUCUCAAAUAAUUACAAGGGGAAAAAUAGUAACUUUGCAGUUAUCAUUAUAACCAAGUCAAGUUAGCAUCACCAGUAAUGAAACAUGGAUUUCUUGUAUCUCCUAAUACAGUACACUGAAAAGGGCAUAACAUCACUUCUGUGGUAUUCUUGUGAAGAAACACAUAACCUCAGUCUAGCCAUAAGAAAACACCAUGGAAACUCAAAUUGAGCAACAUUCUGCAAAAUAAUGGGCUAGGAAUCUUCAAUAGUUCAAGGUCAUGAAAGAAAAGAAAGACUGAGGAACUAUUCUAGAAAAGAAUGAGGAGAUUUGGCAAAUAAAUGCAAUAAAGGAUCCUGGAUUUGAACCUGGACCAGGGGAUCAUAGGAAAUAUUUUCACAUGAGUCUGUUAAUUAGUUAACAGUAUUGUGUCAAUGUAAACCUUCUGGUUUCAAAAUUAUACUGUGGCAAUAUAAUCUGUUAACAUUUGGGAAAGCUGGGUAAAGUGUAUAUGCGAACUCAUGCU